rnacentral:rRNA from 1 species
AGUGAGCGCUGGCGGUAGGCCUAACACAUGCAAGUCGAACGGCAGCACAGUAAGAGCUUGCUCUUACGGGUUGCGAGUCGCGGAUGGGUCAGGAAUACAUCGGACUCUACUUUUUCGUGUGGGAUAACGUAGGGAAACUUACGAUCAUACCGCAUAUGCCCUACGGGUGCAAGCAGGGGCUCUUCGGACCUUGCGCGAUUGUAUGCGCCGAUGUCGGAUUAGUUAGUUGGCUGGGUAAAUGCCCACCAAGGCGACGAUCCGUAGCUGGUCUGAUAGGAUGAUCAGCCACACGGGAACUGAGACAGGGUCCAGACGCCUAAGAGAGGCAGCAGUGGGGAAUAUUGGACAAUGGGCGCGAGCCUGGUCCAGCCAGACCGCGCGUGAGAAAAAGGCGUUCGGGUUGUAAAGCCCUGUUGUUGGGAAUGAAAAGCAGCAGGUUAAUACCCCGCUGUUCUGACGGUACCCAAAGAAGAAGCACCGGCUAACUACGUG